rnacentral:rRNA from 1 species
GGAAUUGUUCGCAAUGGGCGCAAGCCUGACGACGCAACGCCGCGUGGAGGACGAAGAUCUUCGGGUCGUAAACUCCUGUCGAGCGGGAAGAACCCCGCAGAGCCGAAUACGCUCUGCGGCUGACGGUACCGCUAAAGGAAGCCCCGGCUAACUCCGUGCCAGCAGCCGCGGUAAUACGGGGGGGGCAAGCGUUGUUCGGAAUUACUGGGCGUAAAGGGCUCGUAGGCGGCCAACUAAGUCGGAUGUGAAAUCCCCAGGCUCAACUUGGGAACUGCAUCCGAUACUGGUUGGCUUGAAUCCGGGAGAGGGAUGCAGAAUUCCAGGUGUAGCGGUGAAAUGCGUAGAUAUCUGGAGGAAUACCGGUGGCGAAGGCGGCAUCCUGGACCGGCAUUGACGCUGAGUGAGCGAAAGCCAGGGGAGCAAAC